ensembl:lincRNA
AUUAUUUUGCAUGAUUUGAGUCCUUUUUAAAUUCCUUCACUGAGAAGAAUGUGUAUUCUACCAUUGCUGCUAUCUAUAGCUAUAGCUAGCAGAUACAUAGUUAGAUCCUUACUGAUCUUCUGACUAGUUAUUCUAUUUUGCUUUGUUUUUUGGUACUGGGGAUCGAACUCCGGCCCUUGCACUUUGAAGACAGGCGGCGGAACCACUGAGCCAAAUCCCCAGCCCUGUGACUAGUUAUUCUAGCCAUUAUGGAAGUGGGAUUAUGAAGUCUCCCAUUAUUCUUGUUAAAUUAUCUAUUUCUACUUUUUAGUUCUCUUUCUUCAUUUACUUUGGAGCUCCAUGGUUAAGUGUAUUCACAUUUAUGAUCAUUGUAUCUUCCUGUUGGAUCGAAUCUCUUAUCGUUAAAAAUGGCUCUCUGGCUCUGCAGUCUUGUUUUGCCUUGACUUGUCUUGGCUUUUCUUUUUGAGACAGGGUUUCACUAUGUACUUCAGGCUGGCCUUGAAUUCACUAGGUAGCCCAGGCUGGCCUUGAACUCAUGGCGAUCUUUGUGCCUCAGCCUCCCAAGUUAUAACUCUCAGUUAUUGUGUGCAUUCACAUACUCAGUCGCCUCUUUCCCACUCAGGCUGCCUGGGGCUCAGAGCACCAUUGCUUGUCUCUGAGUGCAUUCCAGGUUAGGUCUUGGGAGAGCUGGAAGGACCCCUUGAACUAUGGCUGUCACCAGAAAGCUUCUGUACUUCACUUGCCUUUUGCUCCAGCCAUACCCAACUUCACGGUUUUCCCUCUUCUUUCCUUUUCCAGUCCAUACAGACCCUGCAGGAUUUGCUCACUGAUCUUUAUGCACUCAAGGUCAAAGUUGAAGACCUCAGGAAGGAUGUGGACAUGCUAAAGGAUAUGUUUGAAAAGGUGCACCUAGAAAGACUGGAUCUCUUCUCUGAAGACUUGAAGACUCAGAACCGGCAGAUGAUUGUACUGAAGCGUGAAGUGGUAAGUGUCCCUGACUCUGUCUUCUCUCUGGGGUCUGGGCAGGGUGCGGAGGGGAAAAUAGCAUGGUCUGGAAAGGUUUUUUGUAAGUGUGGAACAUCCCUUGUUCCCCACCCCACUCUACAGAUGUCUCUCCAAAAAGCGAUUAACGCCAUCCCCAGAUCUGAUGACGUGGUGCUUUGGAGUGGCCUCCACGAGGCCAUGUUCAGCCCAGUGAGUGGAGGAGGAGGAGCCGGGGCAGGAAUGUGGGGAGCUGGCCUGCCCCAUCAGCCCGUUCUUCCUCAGGGGACUGCUUCACUAGAGCUGGAGCUGUCCAACAUGUGGCCGACCACAGAGCCACCUCCACAGGCUGCCUUUGCUCAGACUCAGAACCUUGAAGGUGUUGUUCACACCCAUGUGGCGGAGCUUAUCCAAGGUCCCAGGCUCCUACAGACUUCCUGGCACUCUGAUAUCCAGGUACCCCUACCAAACCAGGAAUCUGUCCAAUCACUUCCAUCUGGCAGUGCCAAGGGUCCAGGACAGCCUCAGGCUCUCAUUGCUGGGCCUGGGCCUGCAGCUGGACCUGCAACUGUGCUGGGACCAGAGUCCCACGCCAUGGCUCCAGUAGGGCCCCAUGUGACACCUGGGUUCGUACCAGCACCUUUGCCCGCCUCUGGACCUGGGACUGGCCCUUCGCCUUUCUGGGCUGAAGGUUUGCUUCAGCCUGGCACAAGUGCAUCAGGCUUCCUGCAGUCCCCUCAGCACCAGCCUUCCAAGGCGCCACCCCCAGCUCGGGAGUUUGGAUCAGCAUGGCCUCUUUCACUGCAGCCUUAUCACCCUCGCAAGGCAGAGGCCCAUCAGCUCCCAGCGGUUGAAGAAAAGGAGGAAAAAUAUUUUACCCACUAUGUGAGACACACUCAGGAGGGAUCUCCCAAGAAUGGGGAACUCAAAGAGAAGGCCUCCCAGGAUGGGUCCCCCAGAGAUGGAGCCCUCAGGGAUAGGGCCCUAGAAGCGCGACCUAAGGGCCCCAAGUCUGUCCUGCAUCGGCUGAGAACCACCAUUGCCAAUGCUGCCACUGUCACCGCUGCCCAUGCAGCUGCUGCAACCUCAGCAGCCCGGACAGCCAGAGCUGCAGCAAAGGCAUUAGAGGAUGCCCCUGCCACCAAAAUGGCUACUGAGGCAACAACCAUGGCAGCAUCCGGGCCAUUAGGGGUCUUUGCAGAUGUCCUAGGUGCAGGGAUUUCCCGCGGAGCCCUAGAAGCUCUUGGCACUGAUGAUGAGAAGCAGGAAGACUUGAUGGCAGACUAUGAAACGUUCUCUCCCCUAUCUACCCUUGGCCUCAACACUCAUGAACCAGCGCUGUCCCAGGCUAUGCUGUAUGCCACGCAGGCCAUAAGCCCUGAAGACAAGAAGAAAGCUGUCAAGUACUCCAUGAGCCACGUAGCCCAAAUGCCUGUUAGACAUGACACUUUGAAAGAAGAGUUUGCUCAUCUGUCAUCUGAUUUGCAACAGCGCUUCAAUUAUCUAGUUGACAUGGCAGGUGCCUCCAGGAUUGGAACGGCAGUGGACCUAUUGGAGGAAAGGGUUGACAACCUCCAGAAAUCUGGGCUAAAGGUCAGUGUCCUUGGCAGAGAGGAGCUUUUGAGAAGAUGAUGGCUUUUGAGGUGGCUGAGGGCUGACUCCUGUACCCCACAGCCCUCCAGAGACAGCAUCUGUCCUGUAGCUGAGAGGAAGACUAGGGAAGUGAGUUGGGCAGGCUGAGACAGAUGGGGCUGGUACAGGUCCCAGGGGGUAAGUGACUACCUCAUUCCUUCUGAUGGGCAUCUCAAGUCGCUGUUAAGGUGGCAGGUUGGAGUACAUAAGCUUGGCACCUUCUUCUUGGCCUCACACCCCUUCUAACCAUGCCAACCUCAGGAGCAUAGGCCUCAGAUGUCUGUAUCUUCCCACUUAGGAAGAAGAACUAGAGAAAGUUUUGGGCACCCAACUAGAGACAAUGAAGAAUUACUAUAUAGUGCUGGAUAGGGCGGUAGAAAAGAUCCAAUAUCGCCUGGAUGACAUAAAGGUUUGGAGGCUUGGGCAUCUGGGAGGGGCAAGGGUUUUCUAGCACAGGGAUAGGAGGUUGUAUUGACAGUUGAGGAACCAGAGGACAUUUUACGUUGUGUAAAUUACAUUUCAACUAAAAACCACUAAUUUCCACACGUGUACACAAAAAAGGCUGGACAAUCCAAGAUUCUUGGAUGCUGAGACAGAAUUGCAAAUAGCACAGGGAGGAGGUUGUAUUGACAGUUGAGGAACCAGAGGACAUUUUACGUUGUGUAAAUUACAUUUCAACUAAAAACCACUAAUUUCCACACGUGUACACAAAAAAGGCUGGACAAUCCAAGAUUCUUGGAUGCUGAGACAGAAUUGCAAGUUUGAGCCCAGCCUGGGCAACUUAGUGACUUAGCAAGAUCUUGUCUCAAAAUAAAAAAUUAAAAAGGGCUAGGGGGAUAGUUCAGUGUGAAGGCCCUGGGUUCAAUCCCUAGUACCACAACAAAGAAAAAAGGGGAAGGCACUAGACAAUGUCCAUCUGGUGGCUUCUGCAAUCAUCUAACUCUAGAAGGACAGGGUAAGGGCUCAGUAAUAUUUGGUGAAUGACCAGUAAAUAAAUCGGAGGAUUUCUUGCACCAACAGUUAUGUUUAUAACAUUUGCCUUAAACCACCUCAUUGGAGGGAACAAGGCCCUUUCCUGACUUCUCAGCUCUGCAGGGCUGUCUGGAUAUAGAGCACCUACCCAGGACCCACUCAACCAGACAUCUCCUCCAUGGGCCUGAAGGUCCUACAGCAUCUACUCAGCUGGCUGGAGGGGUCCUCAGAACCUACCCAGUCCAGUCUGUCCCUCGUCCCAGAGGGGUUCCAGACUUCUGUUCCCACAAGGAGGGAAUGACCUUCCCUCGGUGCACAGGGAUAAACAGAACUGAGCUUGUUUAAACAGAGCUUGUUUCCAUAGAGUCUUUUUUGAUAGUCAGUCUUGUUAUGUUGCCCAGGCUGACCUCAAAUUUGCAAUCCCCCAGCCUCAGCCUCCUGAGUAGCUGAAAUUACAGGUGUGCACCUACAUCUGGCUGUAUGGUGGGUUCUGAUCCCGAUCAAGGGGGUGCUGGCAGGAUGCAUCGAGAAGUGAAGGCAAAAGGAGAAGACCGAGGCAAGCCCCUAGCAUCACACUCCCUCCUGAGGUCAUCAUACAGUGUAAUCAGGCUGGGAUAUACAAAGGGUAAUUUUAAAGGGAAAAGAACUCUUAAAGGAGGAACCAAUUUAUAGGCUCAGUUGUGGGCAUGGAAGGGAGAGUUUGCUCUCUUUGGCAGGAUGGGGCCAUGUUGGGUGGAGGAUAUGCAGGUCUGUAUGCUCAGACCUUUAUGGGCAUCAUUGAUCAGGAGCCACAUUGUCCCCUCCUAACCCCAGGCUCUAUCUCCAAUAAUUGUUACUUUGAAGCAUCUCAGGUACAGUCAGGUAUGCUGGUGUGUGUGUAUAAUCCAAGCACUCUGGGUGGCUGAGGCAGGAGAAUCUCAGGUUGGAGCCUGGCCUGGC